rnacentral:lncRNA from 1 species
GGCCUAGAGCCAAACCGACCACGCGAAGGCAGUGGCCAAGGGGUGGGGCCCGUGGGGGUUAGGAGUUGUUUGCAAUUAUGUGAACAUGGUGUUUAGGUAUGUGGAAAUGAGUGGAUGUGCGGAUAUCAUUCGGGUAGAGGGGUAGGUGACAGCAUAGUGACAGCUCUAUCAUCCUUUGCAUUCCCCCAUGAUCAGGUAUUCCGAUAGGAGUUAUGUAAAGUCUUUAUCGGCUGGGUAUCCAGCUGCGGGGAUCUCCCCUCAUCUCAGGCUUAGUUCUAACUCUAUUUUUUGCUAGUUAGAUGAUCCGCUAACAGAUCUAUGCAUAGUUAUAUGUGACCCAUGCCUGCUCAAGUAGAUUUUUUUCUUUAUUCUUUAUUUAUUAUUUUUCUUCUAUUUUAUCCUUGAGGUUGAUCCAAUGUGUUUAUUUCUCUUCAAUAUGUAAUCAAGUUUACACCAUGUUUGAUCCCUUUGCCUUCCUAUGGGAAUUAUAAAUUCGACAUCCUUGAAUACUGACGGGUUGAAAUGCUACAGUGAUAGUUUUGUCCGCUUGCAGUUAUAUUACUUCUUCAUUCAUGAACUAUCGAUUGACGUACCUAAGUACCAUUACUUAAGAUUGUAAUCCUUGUGCACUUUCAAGCGUAGUGCCACAACUUUGCAUAUCGCAAGUAAGGAUGGUUAGGAAGGCCAAUCCAGCAUUCCUAAUUAUUGUUACUAGACUGCACUGCUAAGGCCGGCGCCCUCGAGUUGCAAUGGGUUAUCUCUCUGAUGUAGCGAUAGUUACGGUAUGCCAACACACGACAUUUCUAGUGCCAUUGCUAAGGAUGGAUCUAUGGUCUAUUUUUAGUAGUGACGCUAAGAAAUGCCAACAUACCUAUGCAACCUUGUUCAAUUUUAUUAGAAUGUCCAUGGGAAUUUUAUAAUGAUGCUUUACACCAUGGUAGACCUAAUACAUACACUCUCAUGCAUAAGGAUAAGAACAUUACUUGGCUGUCUUUGUCACCUAUGGAUAUUGUUAAACAUGCUAAAGAGAUUAACAAUAAACCCCCAAUAGACAUUGAUAAAAAUAAUGGGAUUAAGUUACAAGG